AAAAGGCCGCAGUAAUUUGACUGUGCAAAGGUAGCAUAAUAAUUAGUUUUUUAAUUGAAGGCUUGUAUGAAUGGUUGGACAAAGAAAAAUCUGUCUUUUGUGUUAUAUUUGAACUUUACAUUUAAGUGAAAAGGCUUAAAUAAUUUUAAGGGACGAUAAGACCCUAUAAAUCUUUACUGUUAUGUUGGGGCAACAUAAAUAUAAAAAAUAACUGUUUUUUAAAAUAAACAUUUAUAUAUGGAGUAAAAGAUCCUUUUAAAGAUUGAAAGUUUAAGUUACUUUAGGGAUAACAGCGUUAUUUUUUUUGAGAGUUCUUAUUGAAAAAAAAGUUUGCGACCUCGAUGUUGAAUUAAAAUUUCUUUACGGUGCAGUAGUUGUAAGAGAGAGUCUGUUCGACUUUUAAAAUUU
rnacentral:rRNA from 1 species